rnacentral:rRNA from 1 species
UACGGGGGGAGCAAGCGUUGUUCGGAUUUACUGGGCGUAAAGGGCGCGUAGGCGGCCACCGCAAGUCAGUUGUGAAAGCUCUGGGCUUAACCCAGAAAGGUCAGCUGAUACUGCGGGGCUAGAGUGCAGAAGGGGCAACUGGAAUUCUCGGUGUAGCGGUGAAAUGCGUAGAUAUCGAGAGGAACACCCGCGGCGAAGGCGGGUUGCUGGGCUGACACUGACGCUGACAGCGCGAAAGCUAGGGGAGCGAACGGG